UACGGAGGAUGCGAGCGUUAUCCGGAUUUAUUGGGUUUAAAGGGUGCGUAGGCGGGCUUUUAAGUCAGCGGUAAAAAUUCGGGGCUCAACCCCGUCCGGCCGUUGAAACUGGGGGUCUUGAGUGGGCGAGAAGAAGGCGGAAUACGUGGUGUAGCGGUGAAAUGCAUAGAUAUCACGCAGAACCCCGAUUGCGAAGGCAGCCUUCCGGCGCCCUACUGACGCUGAGGCACGAAAGUGCGGGGAUCGAACAGG
rnacentral:rRNA from 1 species